GGCUCAAUGGUGCAAGGUGUACAUCCUCAGAAAAUUAUAGUUGACGUUCUUUUCGGAGGAAGGAGUGGGUUCGAUUCCCACUUGGGCCG